CCAGCUCGAACCGGCCCGAUAGAAAAGAAAAAAAAAACUCCAUCCUGCCUCCCCCGAACCACCCACUUCCCGAUCCCAUCUCGCCACUGUCGCCACCCCUUCCACUGCCGCCGUGCGCCACCACCCCUCGCGCCACGGCCGGCCUCCCUCGUUCCAGCGUGCUGCCGGCCUCCCCCGUUCCAGCGCGCCGCAACCGGCCUCCCUCGUUCCAGCGCGCUGACGGCCUCCCCCGUUCCAGCUCACCACGGCCGGCCUCCCUCGUUCCAGCACGCCUCCAUGGGCCUCCCCGUUCCAGCGUGCCACCACAGGCUUCCCCCUUCCAGCGCGGGCUGCAAGACUGACCGCCGCCCCCUGGCUUCAAUGUGCCACCGUCGGAUCCCCUGGCUUCCACCUGCCGUCGUCGUCCCCCUAGCUUCACCUGCCGCCGUGGCCUCCCUGCUUCCACCAGCCGUCGUCGGGGGUCACCCCCGACACCUCCACCGUCGCCACGCGCGACGCACCUCCUCCCAAGGACGCGGUCGCCUCCCCGCCUCCUACCAGCGACGCGACCACUCCUCCCGGCAGUGCGCCAUGUGUGGCCGAUGUUUCGGCGUCGCCCUCUGGGGCCUCAGUGCGCAGGACGUUCAACUCCACCACCUGAGGUCAUUCACCUCUGCCACCUAAAGCCGUUCACCACCACCAGUCCCCGUCCAAGGCUGCCCCGAUGACCCGUGCGUUAACGCCCCUAUCAACCCCGUGGGAUUUUGUUUCUCUCGGCUUCAAAAAGAGAGGCAACAAGUAGCAAGGGAAAAAGAAGAGCAUGAUUGACAUCCGUAGUCAAAAUGAGCUUUGGACAUCAGGUGGUUCAACGUGUCGAGCGGUAGCAGCGCAUGCUCCGAAUGGUUGCCGGUGCAAGGAGGAUACAGGGAUGCUACAUUGCUGGAGGAGCAGUAGCAUGUAGUAGCUAGCUGAUGAAAAAGUAUCCGCACAGCCAGCGGCCUGCUCUGGCCAUGCCGCACCACCACUGGCAUGUCCACCAUGGUUGCUGGCAGCCGUCCAAGUUGAGCGCUGAUGGUAGUCCUCUCCAUGCAUCAACGACACUCUCUCACUCUCACAGCAAAUCUCUCUCUCUCACUUUGCUUCGGCUAUUAAAAUGCGUACAUAUGUUCUACUAAUUAAGUAGUUAGGAAGAUGUGAAAAGAACUUCCUCUUUAGGUGUUCAUUACAAUUUACUAUUUUUGUUCAAUUCAAAAAUCUUAUUUUAGCCAUGUAAUAUACGUAGUUGGCAAAGAUGACUAUAGUUGUUAUAGCAAAAGCAGUACAAACUUUUUAGAAGUUUCUUUUUGAACUUCUCCCAAUUAUGAUGCACAAAAUAAAGAAGUAUGGGAUCCUUGGUUUACUUACAGGUAGGUCAUCAUUCAAACCUAACACAGAAACUCCUCGCUCGACAUUCGAACUCUUCUUUUCUCAAGACUAGUACUGCUAACUGUUCUUUCACUAUGUAUUCUUUCUCUCAGUUCAUACAGAAACGUGGUAAUAGUUUGAUGUGGAGAAAUAGUUCAUUUUUAUAUAUCAUAAGAAGAAAAGAACAUGUUUCCUAUAGGAGAAAAUCAAAAUAUUAUUAGCAACUCACUAUGUAUUCUACCAUCAGUUCUAUGUGUGUUAGUGAGAGGGUUCGGUGUCUCAUUGUUUUCACUUGCCCAGAAAAAAAUGUUUUGUUGCAGACUAGGAACAUUAUAUUUGUAGUUUUUUAUAAACAAAGAACUAGUAAGUUCAUAUAAGUUCAAAAGACAAAGCAUCGAAAGUUCAGUCGAAAGCUCUCACCACCUUCCUUUCUAUUUCUUAAUUAUUGUAGGACAUUUCAAGCACUGAGCAAAAGGGAUUAGUAUACAUUGCAGAAGUAGUUGUAGGAUGCUCAAGUUCUUUUGACUUUCUUUUCUCUCAUUCUUGACGAGUUGUUUCUUUUUUCUGGUUUCAAAAGUAGAAGAGG